GAUGAACGCUGGCGGCGUGCCUAAUACAUGCAAGUCGAGCGAACAGAUGAGGAGCUUGCUCCUCUGACGUUAGCGGCGGACGGGUGAGUAACACGUGGAUAACCUACCUAUAAGACUGGGAUAACUUCGGGAAACCGGAGCUAAUACCGGAUAAUAUAUUGAACCGCAUGGUUCAAUAGUGAAAGACGGUUUUGCUGUCACUUAUAGAUGGAUCCGCGCCGCAUUAGCUAGUUGGUAAGGUAACGGCUUACCAAGGCAACGAUGCGUAGCCGACCUGAGAGGGUGAUCGGCCACACUAGAACUGAGACACGGUCCAGACUCCUACGGGAGGCAGCAGUAGGGAAUCUUCCGCAAUGGGCGAAAGCCUGACGCAGCAACGCCGCGUGAGUGAUGAAGGUCUUCGGAUCGUAAAACUCUGUUAUUAGGGAAGAACAAAUGUGUAAGUAACUAUGCACGUCUUGACGGUACCUAAUCAGAAAGCCACGGCUAACUACGUG
rnacentral:rRNA from 1 species